GGUGAACGCUAGCUACAGGCUUAACACAUGCAAGUCGAGGGGCAUCAGGAUGUAGCAAUACAUUGCUGGCGACCGGCGCACGGGUGAGUAACACGUAUCCAACCUGCCUUUUACUCGGGGAUAGGCUUUCGAAAGAAAGAUUAAUACCCGAUGGUAUAAUAUUUCCGCAUGGGAUUAUUAUUAAAGAAUUUCGGUAAAAGAUGGGGAUGCGUUCCAUUAGGCAGUUGGCGGGGUAACGGCCCACCAAACCUUCGAUGGAUAGGGGUUCUGAGAGGAAGGUCCCCCACAUUGGAACUGAGACACGGUCCAA
rnacentral:rRNA from 1 species